rnacentral:misc_RNA from 1 species
UGAUUUUGAAACUAAAUCCAUGGAAAGAAAUAUUCAUUUUCCAUCUUCUAGGGAUCCAACUAUCUGGAAGGUCAAAUGCAUGGUUGGACGUGAGAGGCACUCAGCUUUCUGCCUCAUGCAGAAGUUUGCUGACUUGAAAUCUCUAGGCACUAAACUGCAGAUAANNNNUGUUGACCAUGUAAAGGGCUUUGUUUACAUUGAAGCUGAUAAGCAAUGUGAUAUUACCGAGGCUUGUAAAGGGCUUUGUAGCAUAUAUUCUACUAGAGUGGCUUCAGUUCCAAAAAAUGAAGUUUCUCAUAUACUUGCUGUUCGAAGUAAAUCUAAUGUAGUUAGUGAGGGUAUGUGGGCCCGUAUCAAGAAUGGGAAAUACAAGGGGGACCUCGCACAGGUUGUUGCUGUAAAUGAUGCACGGAAAAGAGCAACAGUGAAGCUUAUUCCAAGAAUUGAUCUACAAGCAUUGGCCCAAAAAUUUGGUGGGGGAGUUUCCAUGAAGAAUGCUGCAACACCUGCGCCUAGAUUGCUCAGCUCAAGUGAACUAGA